rnacentral:tRNA from 1 species
UCCCUGGUGGCUCAGAUGGUAAAGAAUCUGCCUUCAAUGCAGGAGACCCUGGUUUGAUCCCUGGAUCGGGAA